rnacentral:rRNA from 1 species
GCGGCGGACGGGUGAGUAACGCGUGGGAACGUACCCUUCUCUGCGGAAUAGCCACUGGAAACGGUGAGUAAUACCGCAUACGCCCUUCGGGGGAAAGAUUUAUCGGAGAAGGAUCGGCCCGCGUUGGAUUAGGUAGUUGGUGGGGUAAUGGCCUACCAAGCCUACGAUCCAUAGCUGGUUUGAGAGGAUGAUCAGCCACACUGGGACUGAGACACGGCCCAGACUCCUACGGGAGGCAGCAGUGGGGAAUCUUAGACAAUGGGCGCAAGCCUGAUCUAGCCAUGCCGCGUGAGUGAAGAAGGCCUUAGGGUCGUAAAGCUCUUUCGCUGGGGAAGAUAAUGACUGUACCCAGUAAAGAAACCCCGGCUAACUCCGUGCCAGCAGCCGCGGUAAUACGGAGGGGGUUAGCGUUGUUCGGAAUUACUGGGCGUAAAGCGCGCGUAGGCGGAUCAGAAAGUUGGGGGUGAAAUCCCGGGGCUCAACCUCGGAACUGCCUCCAAAACUCCUGGUCUUGAGUUCGAGAGAGGUGAGUGGAAUUCCGAGUGUAGAGGUGAAAUUCGUAGAUAUUCGGAGGAACACCAGUGGCGAAGGCGGCUCACUGGCUCGAUACUGACGCUGAGGUGCGAAAGUGUGGGGAGCAAACAGGAUUA